CGUUAGUUCGACUCGCGCUACGAGAGACGCUGGCGGCGUGCUUAACACAUGCAAGUCGAACGCUGAAGCCUGGUCUUCGGAUUGGGUGGAUGAGUGGCGAACGGGUGAGUAACACGUGGGUAAUCUGCCCUGCACUCUGGGAUAAGGCCUUGGAAACGGGGUCUAAUACCGGAUAGGACGCAUGGCCGCAUGGUCUGUGUGUGGAAAGUUCCGGCGGUGCAGGUUGAGCCCGCGGCCUAUCAGCUUGUUGGUGGGGUGAUGGCCUACCAAGGCGACGACGGGUAGCCGGCCUGAGAGGGUGACCGGCCACACUGGGACUGAGACACGGCCCAGACUCCUACGGGAGGCAGCAGUGGGGAAUCUUGCGCAAUGGGCGAAAGCCUGACGCAGCAACGCCGCGUGGGGGAUGACGGCCUUCGGGUUGUAAACCUCUUUUCGACAUCGACGAAGCCUUCGGGUGACGGUAGAUGUAGAAGAAGCACCGGCUAACUACGUG
rnacentral:rRNA from 1 species